rnacentral:rRNA from 1 species
UACGUAGGGUGCGAGCGUUGUCCGGAAUUAUUGGGCGUAAAGAGCUUGUAGGCGGUCUGUCGCGUCUGCUGUGAAAAACCUGGGGGCUUAACCCCCGGGCCUGCAGUGGGUACGGGCAGACUAGAGUGUGGUAGGGGGAGACUGGAAUUCCUGGUGUAGCGGUGAAAUGCGCAGAUAUCAGGAGGAACACCGAUGGCGAAGGCAGGUCUCUGGGCCGAUACUGACGCUGGAGGAGCGAAAAGCGUGGGGAGCGAACAGG